UACGAGGGGGGCAAGCGUUGUUCGGAAUUAUUGGGCGUAAAGGGCGCGUAGGCGGCCAUUCAAGUGACGGGUGAAAGCCCUCGGCUUAACCGAGGAACUGCCUGUCAGACUGGAUGGCUUGAGACCGGGAGAGGUGAGUGGAAUUCCCAGUGUAGCGGUGAAAUGCGCAGAUAUCAGGAAGAACACCCGUGGCUAAGGCGGCUCUCUGGGACGGUACUGACGCUGAGACGCGAAAGCGUGGGGAGCGAACAGG
rnacentral:rRNA from 1 species